rnacentral:rRNA from 1 species
CCUACGGGAGACAGCAGUGAGGAAUAUUGGUCAAUGGACGAGAGUCUGAACCAGCCAAGUAGCGUGAAGGAUGACUGCCCUAUGGGUUGUAAACUUCUUUUAUAUGGGAAUAAAAUGUUCCACGUGUGGGAUUUUGUAUGUACCAUAUGAAUAAGGAUCGGCUAACUCCGUGCCAGCAGCCGCGGUAAUACGGAGGAUCCGAGCGUUAUCCGGAUUUAUUGGGUUUAAGGGGAGCGUAGGUGGAUUGUUAAGUCAGUUGUGAAAGUUUGCGGCUCAACCGUAAAAUUGCAGUUGAAACUGGCAGUCUUGAGUACAGUAGAGGUGGGCGGAAUUCGUGGUGUAGCGGUGAAAUGCUUAGAUAUCACGAAGAACUCCGAUUGCGAAGGCAGUUCACUGGACUGCAACUGACACUGAGGCUCGAAAGUGUGGGUAUCAAACAGGAUUAGAUACCCCAGUAGUC